rnacentral:rRNA from 1 species
CGCGGCCUAUCAGCUUGUUGGUGAGGUUAUGGCUUACCAAGGCGACGACGGGUAGCCGGCCUGAGAGGGUGUCCGGCCACACUGGGACUGAGAUACGGCCCAGACUCCUACGGGAGGCAGCAGUGGGGAAUAUUGCACAAUGGGCGCAAGCCUGAUGCAGCGACGCCGCGUGGGGGAUGACGGCCUUCGGGUUGUAAACCUCUUUCAGCUAUGACGAAGCGCAAGUGACGGUAGUAGCAGAAGAAGCACCGGCCAACUACGUGCCAGCAGCCGCGGUAAUACGUGGGGUGCGAGCGUUGUCCGGAAUUACUGGGCGUAAAGAGCUCGUAGGUGGUUUGUCGCGCUGUUCGUGAAAACCUGAGGCUUAACCUUGGGCGUGCGGGCGAUACGGGCAGACUGGAGUACUGCAGGGGAGACUGGAAUUCCUGGUGUAGCGGUGGAAUGCGCAGAUAUCAGGAGGAACACCGGUGGCGAAGGCGGGUCUCUGGGCAGUAACUGACGCUGAGGAGCGAAAGCGUGGGGAGCGAACAGGAUUAGAUACCCUGGUAGUCCACGCCGUAAACGGUGGGUACUAGGUGUGGGUUUCCUUCCUUGGGAUCCGUGCCGUAGCUAACGCAUUAAGUACCCCGCCUGGGGAGUACGG